GAUGAACGCUGGCGGCGUGCCUAAUACAUGCAAGUCGAGCGAACAGACGAGGAGCUUGCUCCUCUGACGUUAGCGGCGGGCGGGUGAGUAACACGUGGAUAACCUACCUAUAAGACUGGGAUAACUUCGGGAAACCGGAGCUAAUACCGGAUAAUAUAUUGAACCGCAUGGUUCAAUAGUGAAAGACGGUUUUGCUGUCACUUAUAGAUGGAUCCGCGCCGCAUUAGCUAGUUGGUAAGGUAACGGCUUACCAAGGCAACGAGGCGUAGCCGACCUGAGAGGGUGAACGGCCACACUGGAACUGAGACACGGUCCAGACUCCUACGGGAGGCAGCAGUAGGGAAUCUUCCGCAAUGGGCGAAAGCCUGACGGAGCAACGCCGCGUGAGUGAUGAAGGUCUUCGGAUCGUAAAACUCUGUUAUUAGGGAAGAACAAAUGUGUAAGUAACUAUGCACGUCUUGACGGUACCUAAUCAGAAAGCCACGGCUAACUACGUG
rnacentral:rRNA from 1 species